GGUCUCGUGGUGAAAUGGAUAUCACGUUGGUCUUCGGAACCAAAGUUUGGGGUUCGAGUCCCUACGAGACUGCCA
rnacentral:tRNA from 1 species